GUUUGCACUCAUCGGGGAAGGGUGAGAACCUUCGACUAAGGUUCGAUUCGAGCGAAAGCGAGAGAACGUUGCCACAGGCAACGGCCCGAAGGGUGAGGAGCGAGGCGACGAAAAAUCCUUCCCCCACCACCA
rnacentral:sRNA from 1 species